rnacentral:tRNA from 1 species
UAGAAAGUGGUGUAGUGGAAGCACAGAGGGUUUUGAGCUCUUUAGGGGGGGUUCAAGUCCCCCUUUUCUAA